rnacentral:rRNA from 2 species
GUCGAGCGAAUCGAUGGGAGCUUGCUCCCUGAGAUUAGCGGCGGACGGGUGAGUAACAUUUGGGCAACCUGCCUAUAAGACUGGGAUAACUUCGGGAAACCGGAGCUAAUACCGGAUACGUUCUUUUCUCGCAUGAGAGAAGAUGGAAAGACGGUUUACGCUGUCACUUAUAGAUGGGCCCGCGGCGCAUUAGCUAGUUGGUGAGGUAAUGGCUCACCAAGGCGACGAUGCGUAGCCGACCUGAGAGGGUGAUCGGCCACACUGGGACUGAGACACGGCCCAGACUCCUACGGGAGGCAGCAGUAGGGAAUCUUCCGCAAUGGACGAAAGUCUGACGGAGCAACGCCGCGUGAACGAAGAAGGCCUUCGGGUCGUAAAGUUCUGUUGUUAGGGAAGAACAAGUACCAGAGUAACUGCUGGUACCUUGACGGUACCUAACCAGAAAGCCACGGCUAACUACGUGCCAGCAGCCGCGGUAAUACGUAGGUGGCAAGCGUUGU